rnacentral:rRNA from 1 species
UGAUUCUUAAAGUUCAAAAGGCCCCACCCGAACCCAUUCCGAACUCGAUGCGUGAAAUUUUUGAGCACCAUAUGUACUGCUGUUGUGGGAGACAUGGCAAGAAUCA